UACGGGGGGAGCAAGCGUUGUUCGGAUUUACUGGGCGUAAAGGGCGCGUAGGCGGCACUGCAAGUCAGAUGUGAAAUCUCCGGGCUUAACCCGGAAAGGUCAACUGAUACUGCAGGGCUAGAGUGCAGAAGGGGCAACUGGAAUUCUCGGUGUAGCGGUGAAAUGCGUAGAUAUCGAGAGGAACACCUGCGGCGAAGGCGGGUUGCUGGGCUGACACUGACGCUGAGGCGCGAAAGCCAGGGGAGCGAACGGG
rnacentral:rRNA from 1 species